rnacentral:lncRNA from 1 species
UACAAAAAAUACAAAAAUCAGCAUGGUAGUGCAUGUCUGUAAUUCCAGCUACUCUGGAGGCUGAGGCAGGAGAAUCACUUGAACUCGGGAGGCAGAGGUUACAGUGAGCCGAGAUUGUGCCACUGCACUCCAGCCUGGGCGACAGAGCAAGAUAAGACAGAAAUCUCAUUCCUUCUCUUCCAUCUCCAGAAGAGAUGAAAACAUAUGUUCAUACAAAGACCUAAAAAUGAAUAUUUAUAGCAUAAUUAUUUACAAUAAUCCAAACUAUUGAAACAACCCAAAUGUCUAUCAACUUAUGAGUGAAUAAACAAAUUGUGGUAUACGCAUAUAAUGGAAUACUACACAGUAACGAAAAGAAACAAACCAUUGGCACAUAGAAAAACAUGGAGGAAUCUCAAAGCAUUCAUUGUAUUAAGUGAAAGAAGCCAGAUACCAAAGACUAUAUAUAAUUUCCAUUUCUAUUACAUCCUGGGAAAGCUAAAUCUACAAGAACAGGAAACAUAUCAGUGGGGCCCAGGGGCUGGAGGUGAGAGGAGGGAAUUUAUUACAGAGAAGCACAAAAGAACAUGUUUGGGUAAUGGGAUUGUUCUAUUUCUUGAUUGCAGUGAUGGAUACAUGUCAAAUUCAUCAAACUGUAUCCUUAAAAGAGUAAAUUUUGUUGUAUAUGUUUCAGUAAACUUGACUUUUAAAAAUAAUAUUAUAAUAAUGAGCUAUCCUUCUUUGCCCAAGGGGCAAAUUUUUUUAAAAAAAUUAAUAACAUUCAGGUCUGGACGCAGUGGUUUACACCUGUAAUCCCAGCACUUUGGGAGGCCGAGGCCAGGAAUUGGAGACCAGCCUGGGCAUUAUGGUGAAACCCUGUAUCUACCAAAAAUAUAUACAAAAAUUAGCCGGGCGUGGUGGUGCAUGCCUGUAAUCUCAGCUACUCUAGAGGCUGAGGCAUGAGAAUCACUUGAACCCGGGAGGCUGAGGUUGCGGUGGGCUGAGAGCGCACCCCUCCAGGCUGGGCGACAGAGUAAGACUGUUUCUCAAACAACAACAACAAAAAC